GUAUUCAACUUAACGUUUACUUUCAUUUUAAUCAUGCGAAUGUGAUUUUGACAGCUGACAAGAAUAUGUAUGAACUGGUUGUGAAACUUUGAUGAGGAUGUACAGUAUGAGAUAUGUACAUUUAAUGUCCUCUACACAAGGAGGGUUUUAUUCCAAUUAAAUUUAUGAACAUUUCUUAUCAACAAACCCUGUAAGAAGAAGGACCUCUGUUCUACAGCUUGUGGUGGAUCAUAGAACACAUGAUAUCAACCAAGUUUAAAGGAAGCAUAGAUAGCCACAAUAGAAAGAUUUAAGGAUUGUGAGAAACCAAAUAUGACACAAUUCAGAAUAAAGUCCAUGGGAGUGUGAGAAAAAAGAAUAGUAGAGUGUAAUCCUAAGGACUGUCUUCAGACUUCCACAAAGUCAGAAAAAUACUGUUGAACUCAUGAGUGAGUGAGUGACAAAAUUAACAAAACUCAUGAUUCUCAAAAAUUCAAGGAAGAUGUGCGAGUUGAGACUAAGACGGAUUUUAGGAGUUUUGAUGACAAAGAAUCAACCAUUGGAAAUAUGGCUAUUUGAACUUGGAUCUCAUUAUUGAUGCAUGCAUGAUGGUGAGCUGAAGAAGAAAACCAUGACAAAAGAAAGUUCCUAGUGUUCAUCAUGCAGCCAUUUUGAAUGCCCAACUGAGAGAGCCAGCCAGUGUGAAAAAUUAUUUCUUGGAAGUUAAACAAAAUCUGCUGUGAAUUAAAGCUUUAAAAGUACAUUUAAAAACAUUCUGAUUCAUCUAUAAGUGAGACUAGAUUGCCUUUGACAGUUGCCAGUGGAAUUCGGAUCUGAAUUGUACCAGUAUUAAUAAAUUGAAGUGAUUUGCCUUAAAAUUACAUUUGUAUAUGGUGUACAUUAAUUACUUCAAGGAGAUAUAAUACACCUGUUUAAACAAUGAGGUCCAUAGCUAAAAAAACAUGGAUUUGGAAUUUAGCUCACCUUAUCCAAAGGCUCAAUUGCACAAUUCUGAUAAAAAGAAGUCUCUGGUAUCCAACAAUGCAACAUUUAUAUGUUUGACCGUUUGUCCUCCAUUAACUUUUAACAUUUUCUUUUUUUUUUCUAACAUUUGGUCAAUGUAAACCACAUUUGGUACAAUGUAUCUCUGCUUAAAAGGAAUAAAGCUUAUUCAAAUAAA